UACCAGCACCCCGAGUGGUCGGGACGAUUAUUGGGCCUAAAGCAUCCGUAGCCGGUCCUACAAGUCUUCCGUUAAAUCCACCUGCUUAACAGAUGGGCUGCGGGGGAUACUACAGGGCUAGGAGGCGGGAGAGGCAAACGGUACUCAGUGGGUAGGGGUAAAAUCCACUGAUCCACUGAAGACCACCAGUGGCGAAGGCGGUUUGCCAGAACGCGCUCGACGGUGAGGGAUGAAAGCUGGGGGAGCAAACCGG
rnacentral:rRNA from 1 species